GGAAUAUUGGGCAAUGGACGAAAGUCUGACCCAGCGACGCCGCGUGCGGGAUGAAGGCCUUCGGGUUGUAAACCGCUUUCAGCAGGGAAUAAGCGCAAGUGAAGGUACCUGCAGAAGAAGCACCGGCUAACUAUGUGCCAGCAGCCGCGGUAAUACAUAGGGUGCAAGCGUUGUCCGGAAUUAUUGGGCGUAAAGAGCUCGUAGGUCGUUUGUUACGUCGGAUGUGAAAACCUGAGGCUCAACCUCAGGCCUGCAUUCGAUACGGGCAAACUAGAGUUUGGUAGGGGAGACUGGAAUUCCUGGUGUAGCGGUGGAAUGCGCAGAUAUCAGGAGGAACACCAAUGGCGAAGGCAGGUCUCUGGGCCAAUACUGACACUGAGGAGCGAAAGUCUGGGGAGCGAACAGGAUUAGAUACCCUGGUAGUCCAGACCGUAAACGGUGGGCACUAGUUGUGGGAACCUUCCACGGUUUCUGCGACGCAGCUAACGCAUUAAGUGCCCCGCCUGGGGAGUACGAUCGCAAGAUUAAAACUCAAAGGAAUUGACGG
rnacentral:rRNA from 1 species